CUCUCUCUCUCUCUCUUUCUUGCGCUCCCUCUCUACCUUGCUCUCUUCUGUGCGUGUAAGUUCAUUCGCUGUGUCAAGCAACAACUGGCUCAGGAGUGAGAAGUGGGCUUUUGAUCCUCUUUAUCGAGCAUCCCGGUGAGGAUGCAGCAUCCGCAUCCACCUGUACACCCUGGGACUGCCUUGCUGCCUCAUCGCCUCUCUCUCUCUCGCUGUGGCUCUCUAACUGUAUCGGAGGCACUGCGGAGAGCUGGUGCUCUGCUAUACUGACCAUAUCACAGGCAGAAAUCUCACGCAGCAGACGCUCUGCAGGAAACAGACACUGGACCUGAGGGCUGGGAGGGACGGAUUCAGUGGGAUUUUGCGUAUGGCAUAGAGCUGGAGAGCAGCUCAUGUAUUGGUGCUGAAAGAACACAGCAUGAGCCGGGUGCUUAAAUCCUCUGCGGUCCAGAAAGACCAUUGAUGGGGCCUUGCCUUGUGCCGCAAAUCAUCUUCAAUCAGUUGUUUUGAAAGGCCUUGGCGUUUGCCAAACGGCUGAGGACAAUGCUUGCGAUUCCGCUAUUGCUUUCUCCUUAGAAAGACUCUCUUCGGUGACGGGUAUUCUUGGGUGGAUAAUACGGAUCACGUUGUUAUUGCUUAAGAAUACGCGUAGUCGAGGAGAGUCAUGUCGGCGGUGACGGCAGGAGACUAGAGAGAGCACAGAGGCCAGAGAGCCCACCUGCCCACCACACACACCCACCCACACACACACCCACAACCACACACAUACACACUACCAAAGCUCACACUCAGGUCAUUUAAGCAAGCAGACAGAUCUUAUGUUUCUGUGAGUGAUAUAUGUGUUGUUGAGUAUCUCCAGACAGGGCUUGUUCACCAUGUAGCCUUAUACCUCGACAAAAUGAAAAUCUGUUUGAUGUAAAAAAAAAAAAAAACUAAAAUGAUUUUCAAUCACCAUCUGCACCCGUGAUUAUUCUGCCCAGCAUUUCUAUCAGUACAUAAGCUCAUAGACUACAUUAUUUUUUUUUGUUUCAAUUUUAGGUUCUUAUCCUUGUGUGUAUUGGUAAAAGGGAUAGCGUUGCCCAUAUUCUACGGCAUUUAUUAUCUGUCCUUAGGACCACACACUGUUCACUUCCCACUCCAGCUUUUUUCAUGCAAAUUGAUUUAGAAAUGACAUUUAUCGUGUGGGGUUCCCACAUGCAAGCCUACCGCACCACGAGGGCUGACAAAAAAAUGUCCACCAAGCCAACGACAGCUCAAUUUAUGCGCUCGAAAGAAGAGUUAGUGGAAGAGAACACACAGCAGAUAAACAAUUACCACAGCCUUAGAUUGACUACAGCUCUGCUUUCUAUGUAGCCGCACACAUAUCAUGAAUAUGUAUCAGUCAGCGCAUAUGAUGGUGCAUUCUAAAGUCUAACACCCAUGAAAAUCCAUUUAAGCAGCAUAAUAGGAUCUACUUGAUCUACUUGACAUGCUAAAUCUUAUAAAUAUACAUGAGGGGUUUUUUUUUGGCAGGAACGUAUUUUUUCUUAUUUUUAAAUCCCACAUAAGAAUAAAGAAACAAUGUUAUUCCAAGAGGAAUAAAAUGUGGAUAUAUUAACAGGGAGGAUUUUUUUUUUAUAAAAAUCAGCAAACAGUCCAAUUUACUGUUAAUUAUCAUUAAGCACAUUGAAAUGACACAUUAGCAUUUCAGACAGACUAAAGAAAACAAUUCAGUGGCUCUCCUCUUGAUCACCCUGUAAUUAUCAUUCUUUUGGCUGUGCUUUAAUGAACAGAGUGGAAGAAGCUUGUAAGUACAUGUUAUGGCCUUUUACCACUAGGGUACCCACACAACUGAAAAAUUAUAUGUCUGAUUCACUAUAUUUUCUGCUUCCUGGCAUAAGUAUAGGUUUGCUUUAAGAGAACCAUUUUAAUUAAUUGUAAAAAGACUUAUUUAACUAAACAAGAGAUUUAAAAAAAAAAAAAAGCACCACAAUGUUUCAUUAUGUGCUUAUUUUUAUUACUCCUACUUAUUUAUAUAAGUAAUUCAAGGUGAAAUUGAUCAGACAUAUAUUUAAUAAUCACUGUGAUCGUAGCAGCAAAAGGAAAUAACACAUUGAUGUAUCCUAGCUCUUUUGAACCACACUAUAAAUACCCUGGGCAUGCAGAGUUUAAUACAUAACACUAGAAAAUAAUUCUCAAUAUUCUAAAUCAUCCAAAUUAAAAAAGAUAAAACAGCAUGCAUGCUGCAAUCACAGACAAAAAAAAAUCACUGAGCUGAGAUUCCCAUCCCCCUAAAACACCAAGAUAUCUGUUUUUUAUUGAUUAUCCCUGCUACUGAUUAUAUGCUUUAUAAUUUGGCCAUUAUGUCAUAUUCAUUACAUUCAUCACAAUGUUCUCCACUGAAACAUAUUCUAGUAAAAAAAAAAUACAUCCUACAACGAUGAUGUCAUUUACAUUGAUUAAAAUGUUUUAAUAGGACAGUUUUUUCUUGUUAUGAAUUCAGAUUUGAUUUAAUACUGUUGAUAAAUAACCUCAAUGAGUGGAACGAUAUCACUUGGCCUCUUCUGUUGGCAUAAUUCAAAUGACCUCUGUCUGAUUGCACUUUGGAGAAUACUGUGUUUAUAUACCGCAAGGAACCUCGAACACAAUGUACUUUAAUGCCUUUUAUAUUUACAUGUUUCUAUUUUCCUCCUGUUAUAAAUAAAGCUGUAUUCAAGUGAAA